AGCCAGAUGGGCUUCUGCUUGUUGAUCUGCGCCCACUCGUGGCUCACCUCCUUCACCUUCUUCUUCUUCUUCUUGCUCUCGUCCUUGUUCUCGGAGUCGUCGUCGACCUCCUCCACCUCGCCCUCCUUCUUCUCAUCCGACUCUUCAUCUUCGUCGUCGCUGAUCUCCUUCUCGGUGGUCUUCUCGGUCCAGAGGUAGAUGGGGUAGCUGAUGAACUCCGAGUGCUUCUUGACGAGGUCCUUGAGGCGGCGCUCCUCCAGGUACUCGAGCUGGUCGUCCUUGAGGAAGAGCGUGAUCUUGGUGCCGCGCCCGAGCCGCUCGCCCUCCGUGUCGAGGGUGACGGUGAAGGAGCCGCCGGCCUGCGACUCCCACACGUACUGCUCGUCGUCGUUGUGCUUGGUGGUGACCACCACCUUGUCGGCGACGAG
rnacentral:lncRNA from 1 species